ensembl:lncRNA MAP3K2-DT MAP3K2 divergent transcript
CCCGCCCCCGCCCCUGCCCCGGGGCAGCCUGUGCUGUUCCGUGUGCGCGGCGCAUACGCACCUGGGUUGUCUCGAGCCUGCGGUAGUGGCCAGAUCCCAGACAUCCGAGUAGAUCCCGUGAAAAGGUCUCCCACGUGGGCUGUGGACAGGGCCCAAGGGUAGCAGAGCUAGCAGAGGCAGUGACGGACUGUGUGGCAGGUCAUUUGCAAGGAGAAAAGCCGUCUGCCUCUUAAUUUGUGGCUCAAGUUUCAGAAUUUUUUUCCUGAGGGACUUUAGAAAUUACUUCAGGCUUGCCACCUAACCUUAAACCACCCCCUUGGAGACUGGCUAAGUGUUAUUUGUGUUUUCUGUUUAGUUCUUAUCACCAUCGAUACUUGGUUAUGACUGGUUGUGUACAUUGGUUAGCCCAGCAAGUAUUACUUCUCCAGCUUAACAGAUGUGGAAACUUAAGCCCAGAGACAUGAGUUGACACCCCACCCCCAAAGCUAGAGUCUAAAACCCUUUCUUUCGCUCCUCAUCUCCCACAGGAUAAAAUGCAAAUUAAUCAGACUAGUGGUGAGGCCCUCCGUGGUGUGACUAACCUGCAUCCCGACGUUUUCACCCUACUUUGAUCCAGAAAGCACCUUUCCGCCCCAUCUCUUCUCCUUUCCUUAAAUACCCCUUACAACUUCCUGUACCAUUCUUCCCUGUUCAGCUUCUUCUUGGUUUCUUCGUACAUUCUGGAUCCACCCCUUUCAUGCAUAUUCCAGACCACAUUUCCACUGGAGCAGUUGAAAUGAGAGAGAUGGGAAUGGGACUCACCCGAACCAGAGGUAAGGAGCUACCCAACUUGGGCUCUGAGGGUCAAGGGAGCUGGCACUUGUGGGGCAGAGACUGAGGGAGAAACUGUUGUGUAAUGUCAAAAUAUCUCUGGGUUUCUUCCAGGAAUUUUUAUUACAGACCCAUUAACAGAGGUGUCAAAGUCACAGGAACAAGGAUGUGCACCUCAGAAACACAGAGGUCAGUGGAAAAUCAGUUUGCUUCUAUUUGUUUAAAAAAUGGGGGACUUAUGCAUAAAUCUAAGACCUUCUUGAAUCUAACAUUCUAAGACCUGUAUGCCACAGAAAGGAGGGUCUCAGAACGCCGGAGGAUAGUAUUUAAAUCUUAAAUAUCUAUAUUGUUCUCCACAGUUACUGGGUCACCACAUAGCAGGCAUUCAAUAAAAACGUGUUUGUUUACUAAGUAA